GCUAGUUGGUGAGGUAAUGGCUCACCAAGGCGACGAUCUUUAGCUGGUCUGAGAGGAUGAUCAGCCACACUGGAACUGAGACACGGUCCAGACUCCUACGGGAGGCAGCAGUAGGGAAUAUUGCACAAUGGAGGAAACUCUGAUGCAGCGACGCCGCGUGAGUGAUGAAGGACUUCGGUUCGUAAAGCUCUGUCGUAUGGGAAUAAUAAAAUGAAUGUACCAUGCAAGAAAGGAUCGGCUAACUUCGUGCCAGCAGCCGCUGUAAGACGAGGGAUCCUAGCGUUGUUCGGAAUCAUUGGGCGUAAAGCGGAUGUAGGUGGCUUUGUAAGUCAGAUGUGAAAGCCCCGGGCUCAACCCGGGAAGUGCAUUUGAUACUGCGGAGCUUGAGUGCUAGAGAGGUUACUAGAAUACCUGGUGUAGUGGUGAAAUACGUAGAUAUCAGGUGGAAUACCGGAGGCGAAGGCGGGUAACCAGCUAGACACUGACACUCAGAUCCGAAAGUGUGGG
rnacentral:rRNA from 1 species